GCUUUGUGUUUUCAGCACAACGACAUUCCGAUAUGAUCUAAGAAUCACAGAGACACCCUUCGGUCCCAGGAGGACUGGGGAACAGGUUUGGCUAGAAAAAAAAGUGUUCCUCAUGUGAUGGGCACCCCACCAAUCACACCGCACACUCCUCAGCAAACUGGGCUCUUUAAAGGGCAGCGGAGGUGGGAGAAAAGGGCCUUUCAGCUUUGCAGGUGGGUUGGGAUUUCUGCUGGAAGCAUCACGAGACGAGAGCGACUGGGGAGAAGGAAAUGGAGAAAUUAAAUAUGUUGAAAAUCUGAGUGUUAAAAGAAAAAAAAAGGAAAAA